CCUACGGGUGGCAGCAGUGAGGAAUAUUGGUCAAUGGGCGCAAGCCUGAACCAGCCAAGUCGCGUGAGGGAAGACGGUCCUAUGGAUUGUAAACUUCUUUUGUCGGGGAGCAAAAGACGCCACGCGUGGCGUUUCGAGAGUACCCGAAGAAAAAGCAUCGGCUAACUCCGUGCCAGCAGCCGCGGUAAUACGGAGGAUGCGAGCGUUAUCCGGAUUUAUUGGGUUAAAAGGGUGCGCAGGCGGAAGAUCAAGUCGGCGGUAAAAUUGUGGGGCUCAACCUCGUCGAGCCGUUGAAACUGGUGAUCUUGAGUGAGCGAGAGGUAUGCGGAAUGCGUGGUGUAGCGGUGAAAUGCAUAGAUAUCACGCAGAACUCCGAUUGCGAAGGCAGCAUACCGGCGCUCAACUGACGCUCAGGCACGAAAGUGUGGGGAUCGAACAGGAUUAGAUACCCGAGUAGUC
rnacentral:rRNA from 1 species